GAGGGUAUAGCUCAAGUGGUAGAGUGCAUGCUUAGCAACUGCAAGGUUUUGGGUUCAAUCCCCAGUACCUCCA
rnacentral:tRNA from 1 species